ensembl:lncRNA
GAUCAUUUUUCUAAAGUCAUCACAAAGCAGUCAAAAUCUUUAAAAUAUGAGUAAUUUGCUUCAAGUCCUGUAAAUAUCCUGGUCUUGCAGAAUGAAAUAAUAAAUGAAGAACUUUUGAACAAAAAAUAAAGGAAGGAAUGGAGAGUUUGGGGAAAAUUGCUUUGAAGAAUGCAGCAAAUUAUUUUGUAUACUACAUCCAAGGCUACUGAACCAGAAGAAUAAGGACAUACUGCUUGUGAGUUCAGCUGGAUCAAUAGCUCAGCCCUGGGAUUUGCUCGUCUGCUGGAUACUGAAUGAAAAGCACUAAGCUGCCAGUUUGUUCCAUGGAUAUAGAAGACCUCAAUGCAGCCAAGAGACAUUUUUCAUAAGACAGAAAGCAGCUUACCUGUAAAAAUGUUUAGAUAUAUGAGCACACAACAUACAGAGACUAUGAAAUGUACUUGCAGAUAUUGUACGAAAUUCUCCCUUCCUGCCUAUUACUCAAGAGAAAGAACGUGUAAACACACACACGCACGCACGCACACACACACACAACCAUAUACAGAAAUAUAUAUUUGUAGGAUGCCUUUAUUCCAAAGACCUCAAAGCACUCCACGACACGAUCAAAUCCAUUCCUGCGUCUCUGUGAGUAAAAAGUAAGUGUUUGUGAUUACCAAUUGAUAUUUUUUCCUGCUGGGGCGCAUCACAUAGCUGGCCAACCAAGUUCAGGAGGCAGUUUUCUCUAUCUCUCACUUCUCUCAACUGCACUCUUCACCAUCAUAGGUUGUCUGGUUGCAUAAUGUAU